rnacentral:rRNA from 1 species
CGGUUGAUCCUGCCGGAGGCCACUGCUAUGGGGGUCCGACUAAGCCAUGCGAGUCAUGGGGCGCCUUGCGCGCACCGGCGGACGGCUCAGUAACACGUCGGUAACCUACCCUCGGGAGGGGGAUAACCCCGGGAAACUGGGGCUAAUCCCCCAUAGGCCUGAGGUACUGGAAGGUCCUCAGGCCGAAAGGGGCUCUGCCCGCCCGAGGAUGGGCCGGCGGCCGAUUAGGUAGUUGGUGGGGUAACGGCCCACCAAGCCGAAGAUCGGUACGGGCCAUGAGAGUGGGAGCCCGGAGAUGGACACUGAGACACGGGUCCAGGCCCUACGGGGCGCAGCAGGCGCGAAACCUCCGCAAUGCGGGAAACCGCGACGGGGGGACCCCCAGUGCCGUGGCAACGCCACGGCUUUUCCGGAGUGUAAAAAGCUCCGGGAAUAAGGGCUGGGCAAGGCCGGUGGCAGCCGCCGCGGUAAUACCGGCGGCCCGAGUGGUGGCCGCUAUUAUUGGGCCUAAAGCGUCCGUAGCCGGGCCUGUAAGUCCCUGGCGAAAUCCCACAGCUCAACCGUGGGGCUUGCUGGGGAUACUG